GGAAUCUUGCGCAAUAGGGGAAACCCUGACGCAGCAACGCCGCGUGAGUGAGGAAGGUCUUCGGAUCGUAAAGCUCUGUCGGGUGGAAAGAAAUGUAUGGGGUUAAUAGCCUUCAUACUUGACGGUACCACCAAAGGAAGCACCGGCUAACUCCGUGCCAGCAGCCGCGGUAAUACGGGGGGUGCAAGCGUUGUUCGGAAUUAUUGGGCGUAAAGAGCGUGUAGGCGGCUUGGCAAGUCAGAUGUGAAAGCCCUGGGCUUAACCCAGGAAGUGCAUUUGAAACUGCCUAGCUUGAGUAGGGGAGAGGGAAGUGGAAUUCCUGGUGUAGAGGUGAAAUUCGUAGAUAUCAGGAGGAACACCCGUGGCGAAGGCGACUUCCUGGCCCUAUACUGACGCUGAGACGCGAGAGCGUGGGUAGCAAACAG
rnacentral:rRNA from 1 species